rnacentral:rRNA from 1 species
AUGAUGGUCAUGGACCCCUACGGUGCCACCAUCAGCGCCACCCCCGAAGCGGCGACGCCGUUCCCUCACCGCAAGGGCGUCCUCUUCAACAUCCAGUACGUUAGCUACUGGUUCGCCGAAGCAGGCGGCGCGGCGGCGCUGCAGUGGAGCAAGGACAUGUACAAGUUCAUGGAGCCUUACGUGAGCAAGAACCCCAGGCAGGCAUACGCCAACUACAGGGACAUCGACCUCGGCAGGAACGAGGUGGUGAACGACAUCUCAACCUACAGCAGUGGCAAGAUCUGGGGUGAGAAAUACUUCAAGGGUAACUUUCAAAGGCUCGCCAUUACCAAGGGCAAGGUGGAUCCCCAGGACUACUUCAGGAACGAGCAGAGCAUCCCGCCGCUGGUGGGGAAGUACUGA